GCGGUUGUGGCGAAGUGGUUAACGCACCGGAUUGUGGCUCUGGCACUCGUGGGUUCGAUUCCCAUCAAUCGCCCCA
rnacentral:tRNA from 1 species